UACGGGGGAGGCAGCGUUGUUCGGAUUUACUGGCGUAAAGGGGCGCGAGUAGGCGGCUAGGACAAGUCAAAGGGUGAAAUCCCUCGGCUCAACUGAGGAACCUGCCUUUGAAAUGUCUGGCGUUGAGGCCGGGAGGGGUGAGCGGAAUUCCCGAGUGUAGCGGUGAAAUGACGUAGAUAUUGGGAGGAACACCAGUGGCGAAGGCGGCUCACUGGCCCGAUACUGACGCUGAGGCACGAAAGCGUGGGGAGCAACAGG
rnacentral:rRNA from 1 species